rnacentral:snRNA from 1 species
GUGGUUAACGUUAACCAAAAGCG